ensembl:lncRNA
GUAAUUUAUUUACCUAGUUCCCUGAGAGUAGAGUUUCUGGUGGUUUCUUGCCUUUUCCUAUAGUGACUGUCCUCUUUCAUAGAUCUUUCUAUUCCUGCCUGUGCUCCGCACGAUAAACUAUUCAUGGUAAUUUGGGCUAAUUGUUACGAGCAGCAGCUGUUGAACCCAAACACCGCUGCAGGGUGGGAAGAAGCUCAGGUGUCGGGCUGGAGCUUCACCUCUCCAGUCGGAUCCUCCCCUCACGUGCUUGGUGUUCAGUAAAUUGUGGUUUCUUUCUUCCUUGAUAGGGGAGGUGUUGCUGCAAGGAUCAUGAGUGCAUCCCAUAUUAAUUAGGGAGAUUGUAAGAGGUUUUGCAGGACUCCUUGGAUAUAUAAUCAGAGACUAGAAUGGUGCUUUGCCAUUGCAGCCUAUUUGUUUUCCAGUUAAUAAGGAGAAAGAAUUGGGCCGUCUGGCUGAUACACUUGUUACUAAUUAGCUGUGUGGCAAUACCCUCUUUUGGGCGUUAGCUUCCCUAUGUACAAAAGAAGGUUUCACUAGCUCCAGUCCUGGAGGGCACACGGCCCAGCCCCGGACAGCCUUUUGCCUUGCAGGAACGCAGACCCAGUGAUGCCAGGUCUAAAUUUUCAAGAAAAGCUAGAAAUCCAGAUUAUGUAGAGAUUCAAUAUUUAAAAGUUGGGAACUUUUUUUUUUAAGUCAAUUGCUGGAGCACCAGUUUGCUGUCUCUGAAUUAAUGUGAUUUUAAGCAUUUCUCGUAGUGACCUGUUGAAGCAUUGUGUCUGAGUGCAGAGACGGAACUCUUGAAGAACGGAAGAGAUUUCAGAGAAAAGUGACAAAUUAAAUGAUACGUCUUGUGGCAAAGUGACCAGCACACAGUAAUCAUUCAGUUCGUGUUUGUUUAUGAAAAAUCACUUAAAAACGAAAAGACGAGGAGGAGGAAGGAGCCAAGAGCUGGCCGCCACCGUCUUCAGUCACAUUGGUCACCUGGAAAGCAGAAUCCUAUCAAUGGAAUUGUAUUGUUCCCUUGCUUUCAACAUUGUGGCCAUCUACUCAUCCUGUCUCCAGGAAUUGCUUAGCUGUAUUUCUCGCAGUAGCUGAAGAAACUGAGGCUCAGGGCUGCCUUGCUAGCCAGCAGCUGGGCUUAGCUUUGAUUCCAGUCUGCCUUGGCUACCACGGCUGACCUCUUGCCACGCCACCGUUGCCUCUCUCUCUCCAUGCUCCAUGGGCACCGCGAUGCCAGCAGUCUCCCUGAGGAGCCAGGCCUCGGGCUGUGCAGGCCCCUUGCAUUAAGAGACCCUCUGCAUAUCUUCUUUCCCUCCCACUGAUGGGGCUGUCAUGGAAAGCAGACCCCGUCCCUGCUCUCAGGAAGCUUCCUUUCCAGAAGUCGACAAUGUGACUGCAUGAACUCACAGGAUAAAUUAGAUUGUGGUAAGUGCUGUGACAAGAUGACACUGGGCAGUGGGUUGCAGCGGCCUGGGGGACAUUUGAGCCAAGACCUCAGUGGUCAGCAGGAGCCAGCCACGCAGUGUUCCAGGCUGAGGGACGGAGAUGCCAAGGCCUUUAGGGAAGGCCCGUGGACCCAAGUGGCUGGAGGGGCGCUUGGCCUCCACGAUGCGGGCAGGAGGCGCGGGGAGAGGCCGUGGAAGGCGAUGCGUUUGGGUUUGGACGUCGCAGGUGCCCGAGAGACAUUCAAGUGGAGCUGACUUGGGCUGUCUAGAAGAGAGGCGACGGGUGGCUCCGAAGGAAGAGGCCUGACACCGAGUCCGGAAGAACGUCGCAUCGAGGCAGAGGGCGCAGGACGAGCCAGCGACAAAGGCGGGGGCGGAGCAGCGGAGGGGUAGGCGCGAGGCAACGGCAGCCUUGGCCGCGCGGGCCACGCUCAGAACUUGGCAAGCCCUCUUUCCCAAACACUCGCCCCCAGCCGCCCCGGCCUCCCGGCGAACAACGCCUGUGCCUAAUCGCGCCGGGGACACCUAAUCCCGCCGCGCGCCGCUCCAGCCCGCGCCGCGCUCCCGAGGGCAGGGGCUCCAAGGGCGAGGGCUCCUGACGGCCUGGGC